rnacentral:rRNA from 1 species
UACGUAGGGUGCGAGCGUUGUCCGGAAUUAUUGGGCGUAAAGAGCUCGUAGGCGGUUUGUCACGUCUGCUGUGAAAUCCCGAGGCUCAACCUCGGGCCUGCAGUGGGUACGGGCAGACUGGAGUGCGGUAGGGGAGAAUGGAAUUCCUGGUGUAGCGGUGAAAUGCGCAGAUAUCAGGAGGAACACCGGUGGCGAAGGCGGCAUCCUGGACCAAUACUGACGCUGAGGAGCGAAAGCCAGGGGAGCAAACGGG